GAGGAGAUGUACAAAACACUAUUCGAAGGUAGAUGCUCAAAAAAAUCUUGCUCAGAUGCAUCCAAUUAAAUUGUGCAUGGUAGUGCAUGUAUAAGGUAAUAACCAAAGUUCUUACAAACAGGUUGAAGAAAAUUCUGCCUAUCAUAGUUGGUCUACCUAGGCUAGUUUUGUUUUCGGAAGGAAUAUAACAGACAAAAUAAUUAUUACCUAAAAAGUGGCUCACUCAAUGAAAAGGAAUAAAGGAAUAAAAAGGGGGUUCAU
rnacentral:misc_RNA from 1 species